rnacentral:rRNA from 1 species
UACAGAGGUGGCAAGCGUUGUUCGGAAUUACUGGGCGUAAAGGGCGCGUAGGUGGCCUUCUUAGUCAGACGUGAAAUCCCCAGGCUUAACCUGGGAACUGCGUCUGAUACUGGAAGGCUCGAGUUCGGGAGAGGAAUGUGGAAUUCCAGGUGUAGCGGUGAAAUGCGUAGAUAUCUGGAGGAACACCGGUGGCGAAGGCGGCAUCCUGGACCGGUAUUGACGCUGAGGCGCGAAAGCCAGGGGAGCAAACGGG